ACUGUCGAACUGAUCUGAUGAUGGAGCCGGAAGAUAUGAACUGGAACGAUUUAUAAGACGUUAUCACGUCAAAAAUGAUUGUUCUUCAUUCGAAUGUGUGAACUAAACUCGGUUUUAAUCAACUCAUUUUAUGGUAAAACAUAUGUUCUUUCGCUUAUCACACGUUUGUUGUGACAGACAACAGACAACUGCGUGCCAAAAGUAUGUUUCUGACGGGCUUUCUACUACUGUCAUUAUAACAAUUACCUAAUGCUUGUACACUGUAUUUACUAUUUUAUUAACAUCCAAGCAAAACUCUCCGUUGACAUAGACUAGAUACAAUGUUUAGCCGUUACGUUGGUAAGCCUGGAAGAAUACUAUAUGAUAUAAAAGCCUAAUUUCUAGCUCGAUGUUGGAAAUAUAUAAAGUUUACUAUUACUGUUUCGUCCAGUAUUAUUGCAGUUUAGCAUUUAUCAGCUAUCGUGACCUAUUUUUAACGUAAAUAUUAUUUUAAAGCAAAAAACGUGAACAAUAUAACGGAAUAAACACACAUAGUAAGUUUGCCAUAUUUGGCCACGGCGCUGUGAUCGUUCCGGCUUCCCCCACCACCCGCUUUGCACGCUUCCAAGUGUUGUCAAAACUUUUUACUAAAAGUCAAACGGCCUGACAGCCAACUGUCAAUGCCGUAGAAAAUAUUAUGACUUGUUGAUAUUGGCUGUUUUUUUAAUUUCACUGUAACUCUUAAUUAUUACGAAGUAGUAGAAUUAAAGUAAUAUAGUAUUAUGGAUGUCGAAAAUGAGAGCGUAGGAACUUAUAUGUCAAAGGAGUCUUCCUUCGGAAAAGCGUUGGCUUCUUCAACAUUCAAUGCUCCUGCGCCAAUCCACAUGUUCAGCGAAUUUGGUGACGGAGAAUGCGGAGAACCCCUGGAAGCACAUCACCUCCACCUGGAUUUUACCCCUACGGACGAUGACGACGACUAUUCCCAGAAGAAAUGCUGCGAGUUCUGGAAGUACAUUGAAAGUAGAAGUGACUUAAAGGGCAUGAUGGUUCUGCCGGAAAAGACAAAAUCGACCCAGAGUACUGACACAGUCUCCGUCCACAAGCCAGUUAUGAAGGAGCGUGUGUCGAAGCCAAAGACAGCCGUCUCAAUGCUUCAAAUAGUCGAAGAGAAAGGUUUAAUAGAUCGAGCUUUCGAAGUAAAGAUGCAACAAUCGCGAUGCUCACUGGGUUCACAUGACUAUGAACUGAGUCCAAAGGCUAAACAAACAAGUGAGUUAGAGAGUGUCCUUGUCCCUAUCCCUGCGUGAAGUGCCCAAACGCUCCUAUCUCUACCGCCCGUGCACUUUGCGAGGAACUGGGGGCUUGGGAUGUUAAUCAUCCGAAGUCAAUGGAGCCGCCGAGCCAUCCCCCCUCCGUUUGAAAAGCUGUCAGCCAAGACCGAUGAAUUUAUUAACUACGAGUGCAUAUUUUCGUACGUAUUUUCUGUAAUUUUGUAACAUUUCUUCGCUAUUAAAAUCUGAUUAAA